rnacentral:rRNA from 1 species
CCUACGGGUGGCAGCAGUGAGGAAUAUUGGUCAAUGGGCGGAAGCCUGAACCAGCCAAGUCGCGUGAGGGAAUAAGGCCCUACGGGUCGUAAACCUCUUUUGUCGGGGAGCAAGGUCGGGCUCGUGUCCCUGCCCGGAGAGUCCCCGGAGAAAAAGCAUCGGCUAACCCCGUGCCAGCAGCCGCGGUAAUACGGGGGAUGCGAGCGUUUCCCGGAUUUAUUGGGUUUAAAGGGGGCGUAGGCGGGCUUUUAAGCCAGGGGUAAAAAUUCGGGGCUCAACCCCGGCCGGCCGUUGAAACUGGGGGCCUUGAGUGGGCGAGAGGAAGGCGGAAUGCGUGGUGUAGCGGUGAAAUGCAUAGAUAUCACGCAGAACCCCGAUUGCGAAGGCAGCCUUCCGGAGCCCUACUGACGCUGAGGCACGAAAGUGCGGGGAUCGAACAGGAUUAGAUACCCCUGUAGUC